AUCUGUGUAUUCACCCGCUUGACAGAAGAGGUGGCAAGGUGUGUACGUACAGGAGUUCCAAAGCAGCAACAGAACUUGUCAGAUGUGUUCUCCCAGUUCCCAUCCUGAGAACAGUGAGUACAUAUCCAAGCCCAUCCUAGCAGCAGCUCAGAGAAGGAAGAUGCCCCCCUAGACCACGUGGAAUGGACCAGUCAUCCCUGCCUCAUGUUCCCACAAUCCAUAUGAUCAUCUAUAACAGACAAGUUCCCAGAUCAAGACUUUCAAGGCAAAGACUCAAAGACGAAAUUCACCAGAGAGGAAGGAUCUCCCCAGUCCUCAGCCCUGACAAAGGGGACCUUCAUACAUGGCGAGGUCAGGGCCUGCCACUUCACUACUAGCCAGAUGUCACAGUUUGCAUGUGGCUUGUUUCCCAA